rfam:Rhizobiales bacterium 65-9 SCNpilot_cont_300_bf_scaffold_522, whole genome shotgun sequence.
CGGGCCGAUGGGGAUGGAGUCCCCCGAAACCGCCCGAGAGGGCUGAUGACUCCUGCCGCAGU